AUGGCGGGGUUGGCAGGCCAGCUCACCAGGCACUGGUGCUCUGGGCUUCUCCGCAGUGUUCCCCCGCAGGUCCCAGCCCUUGGGCUGCACGUGGGCAGCCCUGCCAUGUGAACCAGCCAGAAGGACUUUAACAACACAGUGAACCAGGUGAAGCUCCUGAAGGAGGAUCCGGUCAAUGAAGUGAAGCUGAAACUCUAUGCACUCUACAAGCAGGCCACUGAAGGACCUUGUAACGUGCACAAACCAGGUAUGCUGGACUUUAUCUAUAAGACCAAAUGGGAUGCAUGGAAUGCUCUUGGAAGUCUGUCCAAGGAAGCUGCCUGACAGAACUACGUGGACUUGGUGUCCAGUCUGCUUCCUCUGAGCCCCCCAGCUCAGAGGCACCUGCAGCAGACAGGAAGCAACCAGAAAGCGACAGCCUGGUGGUGACCUCCGAAGACGGCAUCACCACCAUCCGGUUGAACCGUCCAACCAAAAGAAAUGCUCUCACCACACAGAUGUAUCAUGACAUCAUAGCUGCACUUCAGGCUGCAAGCAAGGAUGAGUCAGCCAUAACUGUUUUAACAGGCAGUGGGGACUACUACUGCAGCGGGAACGACCUGACCAACUUCACGAAUCUGCCCGCCGGUGGGCUGGAGAUGGCCAGGAGCAGAGAGGUCCUCCUGAGGGAUUUUGUCAACUGUUUCAUAAAUUUCCCGAAGCCUCUGGUGGCCGUGGUCAAUGGGCCAGUUGUGGGGAUCUCCAUCACCAUCAUUGGGCUGUCUGACGUCAUGUAUGCGACCGACCGGGCAACCUUUCACACCCCGUUCAGUCACCUGGGCCAGAGUCCAGAAGGCUGUUCCUCUUACACUUUUCCCAAGAUAAUGGGCUCAAGCAAGGCGGCAGAGAUGCUCCUUUUUGGGAAGAAGUUAACGGCCCAGGAAGCGUGUGCCCAAGGACUCCUUACUGAAGUUUUUCCUGACAGCACUUUUCAGAAAGAAGUUUAGGACAGGCUGAAGGCAUAUUCAAAGCUCCCCCCAAAUGCCAUGAGAAUUUCCAAGCAGAUCAUCAGAAACGGGGAGAAAGAAAAGUUGCAAGUGGUCAACGCGGAAGAAAGCAGUGUCCUGAGGGCGAGGUGGCUGUCAGACGAGUGCAUGAAUGCCAUCGUGAGCUUCCUGUCCAGAAAGGCGAAGCUCUGAUGACCAGCACGGCCCAGCCGGGUGCCUCCAGGGAAGCGUUGUACCGCUGCUCCCGGUUGUCAGUCCCCGAGCCGAAUAAACCUCGCUGUGCCUUCUUUCAGUGCUUAAAUACCAGUCGCUAUGAUUGUAUUGUGCUGGAGCCUUGAUGGAAAACAAAUGAUGUCAAACGCGCUUGGGGAACUUCCGUUGACUCUUGGCCGGGGGUAGUCUCAGCUCUCUCAACAUGAACCGCUGUUGCCAGGUGCACUGGAACAUGCUGCCCGGCGCCCUGCUCUGGAACGCGUUCAUCGCGUUGCGGGCUGAGACCACAUGUUUGAAAACCACCGCGGCGCUCUGCCGCCCUGCACAGGGUCACCGACUGGAUCGCCCGAACACUGACAACCUCUGCGAGACCGAGGCAAGGUGGGUCGUAUGUUCUUUCUCAGCCACCUGGAAGGGGGAGUGAGCAGAAAGGAGUAGGACUAUCAGAGGGUCAAUUAGAAUCCUAGUUUCAUUCCACCCCUAUCAUCUGCCAAAAAGACGUGGAGAAUUAGACCGUUUCCCAGGAACGUGAUAUUCCAUAUCAGUGGUUAUUUCCUCAUGUAUUGUCUCAUCUUCAUUCUCAUUUAAGAUGGUCCUUUAUAAAAAACACAUCUG